GUUUUUUGGUUUUCAGCUUCAGUUCUAAUAAAUUCGAUGAAACUGUUUGUAGAAAUUCCUAAUCCAAACCUGCCAUCUAUUUACGAUAUAAAUUUGGGGUAACUUUUAUGGGUUUAGCUGUCUCCGAGUUCUUAAUUUUGUUAAAGUUCUAAAUUAAUAUUGCGAGAUUAUUCUUCUACGUCAUUGGCAAUACAACGCCCUGUUCUUUUAAUCUCAACGCAUCUUCUCAUAUGGAAUGAUUUAUUAUGUGCUUCGAACUAAUCUAAUGUGCCCUUUGAGAUAUUUACUGGUGGCGAGUUUCUUCUGUCAAAAUAAAAUCCGGUUGAAUCCUAUACUGCUUAUGUUUUCUCAACUUUUCCUCAAAUAUGUUGUGCACAAGCUCAAGCAUUUUCUGUUGUUGCGUUAAUUCAUGUGUAAAUAACAUAUUCAUACUCGAGAUUUUUGUAUGGUGGUUUUGCAAGUAGCUGCUGUGAACUAUUGACCUCUUUUCUGGGUGGGGUUCCCAAUAAGCAAUUUAUGAGUGUAGUGUGACUAAUUUCCUGCCCAUCGAAUGCUUAAACAUCGUAUCUGCUAGUCCACGGUACUUGUGAGUGCAAUAAGUGUUAUCCAUGGCUUAAGCAGGCAUGUUGAAAUAGCUUCAUGGGAAUUUUCUGGAAUGUUUUCUGAUUGUGGGAAAGAUUGUGUUGAAAGGUCAAUGCAAAGAAUGUCAUUGAUGCAAGUUUUUUUGGUAUAUUCUGGUAUCCAAGUCAACAAACCAAUAUCUGGUGGUUGGUUUACCCUUGGUUGUGUGAGUGUAUUGGUUUCCUCCUGCAUUUUAUGAAGAGAAGGGGAAAAAACACAACACUGCUACAUUGUUGGUUUCAUGUCAUAUUUUUAUGGGAACAUGAAGCUCUUUUAUCUUCCACAGAAGGUGGAUGAAGGGGGAGUGAUAGAUCUGGAUUUUGUGUCUCUGGAUUUCCCAUAAUUUGUUUUGUGAUAUAUUGCUCUUUAAUUUUUUUGCCAGUGAAUGGAUAGUAAUUGUUCUGUUAAAUGUCAAUCAUUUAAGAUGCAACUUUUAUAGCCAUGCAUAUUUGAUAUCACCUUGAGCUUUUAUGUCAUAGACUUGCUUUCUUGCAGGAUUGUCAUUUUACACCACAG
rnacentral:misc_RNA from 1 species